rnacentral:rRNA from 1 species
UACAGAGACUGCAAGCGUUAUUCGGAUUCACUGGGCGUAAAGGGUGCGCAGGCGGCCAAGUGUGUCAGGUGUGAAAUCCCGAGGCUUAACCUCGGAACUGCGCCCGAAACUACUUGGCUAGAGUACUGGAGAGGGUAACGGAAUUCACGGUGUAGCAGUGAAAUGCGUAGAUAUCGUGAGGAACACCAGAGGCGAAGGCGGUUACCUGGACAGUUACUGACGCUCAGGCACGAAAGCGUGGGGAGCAAAAGGG